CUACGGGUGGCUCCAGUGGGGAAUCUUAGACAAUGGGGGAAACCCUGAUCUAGCCAUGCCGCGUGAUCGAUGAAGGCCUUAGGGUUGUAAAGAUCUUUCAGGUGGGAAGAUAAUGACUGUACCACCAGAAGAAGCCCCGGCUAACUCCGUGCCAGCAGCCGCGGUAAUACGGAGGGGGCUAGCGUUAUUCGAAAUUACUGGGCGUAAAGCGCACGUAGGCGGACCAGAAAGUCAGAGGUGAAAGCCCGGGGCUCAACCCCGGAACUGCCUUUGAAACUCCUGGUCUUGAGGUCGAGAGAGGUGAGUGGAAUUCCGAGUGUAGAGGUGAAAUUCGUAGAUAUUCGGAGGAACACCAGUGGCGAAGGCGGCUCACUGGCUCGAUACUGACGCUGAGGUGCGAAAGCGUGGGGAGCAAACAGGAUUAGAUACCCCCGUAGUC
rnacentral:rRNA from 1 species